GUACGCGCGGAUCUUCCAGUAAGAUUAGAGUUUGAUCCUGGCUCAGGAUGAACGUUGGCGGUGUGCCUAAUACAUGCAAGUCGAACGGAGCUAAUAGCAAUAUUGGCUUAGUGGCGAACGGGUGAGUAACGCGUUGGUGAUCUGCCUUGAAGUGUGGAAUAACGUUCCGAAAGGAUCGCUAAUACCGCAUGUGCUCUCGAUUUUCAGAAAGUUGAGAGUAAAGGAUUUAUUCGCUUCAAGAGGAGCCUGCGUCCCAUCAGCUGGUUGGUAGGGUAACGGCCUACCAAGGCUAUGACGGGUAGGGGACCUGAGAGGGUGGCCCCCCACAAUGGAACUGAAACACGGUCCAUACACCUACGGGUGGCAGCAGUAGGGAAUAUUAGAAAUGGACGAAAGUCUGAUCUAGCAACACCGCGUGUGCGAAGAAGGCCUUCGGGUCGUAAAGCACUUUUUGGAAGGAAUAGGAAGGAAGGUACUUCCAGAAUAAGUCUCGGCUAACUACGUGCCAGCAGCCGCGGUAACACGUAGGAGGCAAACGUUAUCCGGAUUUACUGGGCGUAAAGCGCGUGUAGGUGGUUCUGUAAGUAGGGCGUGAAAGCUCCCGGCUCAACUGGGAGAGGCCGUUCUAAACUGCAGAGCUAGAGGAUGGUAGAGGGAGGU
rnacentral:rRNA from 1 species